rnacentral:ncRNA from 1 species
CAAAGGUUUGGUCCUAGCCUUCCUAUUAGCCCUUAACAAAUUUACACAUGCAAGUCUCCACCAACCAGUGAGAAUGCCCUCCAAAUCAUUAACCUGACAAAGAGGAGCGGGUAUCAAGCACACCAAUAGGUAGCUCAUAACACCUUGCUAAGCCACACCCCCACGGGAUACAGCAGUGACAAAAAUUAAGCAAUAAACGAAAGUUUGACUAAGUUAUGUUAACAAAGGGUUGGUAAAUUUCGUGCCAGCCACCGCGGUCAUACGAUUAACCCCAGUUAAUAGGCUAACGGCGUAAAACGUGUUAAAAAAUUAACCUAACUAAAGUUAAAAUUUAACCAAGCUGUAAAAAGCCACCGUUAAUAUAAAAUAAACCACGAAAGUGACUUUAAUAACCUUGAUUACACGAUAGCUAAGACCCAAACUGGGAUUAGAUACCCCACUAUGCUUAGCCAUAAACACAAACAAUUAAUACAACAAAAUUGUUCGCCAGAGAACUACUAGCAAUAGCCUGAAACUCAAAGGACUUGGCGGUGCUUUAUAUCCCUCUAGAGGAGCCUGUUCUAUAAUCGAUAAACCCCGAUAAACCUCACCGUUCCUGGCUAAUACAGUCUAUAUACCGCCAUCUUCAGCAAACCCUUAAAAGGAAUACAAGUAAGCACAAGCAUAAGACAUAAAAAAGUUAGGUCAAGGUGUAACCUAUGGAACGGAAAGAAAUGGGCUACAUUUUCUUCAACAAGAAUACCUACGAAAGACUUUAUGAAAUUAAAGACCAAAGGAGGAUUUAGCAGUAAACUAAGAAUAGAGAGCUUAAUUGAAAAGGGCCAUGAAGCACGCACACACCGCCCGUCACCCUCCUCAAGUAAUCAUAUUAGAACAUAACAUAUUAACCCUUAUAGUACACAAGAGGAGACAAGUCGUAACAAGGUAAGCGUACUGGAAAGUGUGCUUGGAUAAA